AGGAUAAACGCUGGCGGCGUGCCUAACACAUGCAAGUCGAACGCGCUUUCGGGCUUCGGUGCGAGAGCGAGUGGCGGACGGGUGAGUAACACAUGGGUACCUGCCUUUCAGUGAGGGAUACCGGCGAGAAAUUGCCGACAAUACCGCAUGGGCUUGUGGGAACACAAGCAAAGUGGCGCAAGUCACGCUGGAAGAUGGGCCUGUGGCCGAUUAGCUAGUUGGGGGGUAAUGGCCUCCCAAGGCGACGAUCGGUAGCUGGUCUGAGAGGACGAUCAGCCACACUGGGAUUGAGAACGGCCCAGACUCCUACGGGGGGCAGCAGUGAGGAAUUUUCCGCAAUGGACGAAAGUCUGACGGAGCAACGCCGCGUGCAGGAGGAAGGUUUUCGGAUCGUAAACUGCUUUUCUCGGGGACGAGCAAGGACGGUACCCGAGGAAGAAGCCCCGGCUAACUACGCGCCAGCAGCCGC
rnacentral:rRNA from 1 species